rnacentral:lncRNA from 1 species
AACCACCAAAACUCCCUGGUCUCUCUGUGGUACAUCACAUCCUCCCCGUGCUUCCUCUUAGCCGGCUCUGCCCCAUGGUGCACACGCAGCUUGCCUUUCCGAGGACAAGCGGGAAGAGGCAUGACAAGUGGCUUUGUUUGGCUUUUGUUUGCUGCAUUUGGGAAAUGGUCUACAAGAUUGUAGAUGGUUUACAAGAUUGUAACCUGGUGGAGAAAGAAGAACAUUUUUUAUUUGUUUACACCAAGAGAGGAGCAGACGUCAUCUCUUUAGGGUGCCUAGUGCCUGGUGGCUUUACACUGAGAGCAGCGUGA